rnacentral:rRNA from 1 species
GACGAACGCUGGCGGCGUGCUUAACACUUGCAAGUCGAACGGAAAGGCCCUGCUUUUGUGGGGUGCUCGAGUGGCGAACGGGUGAGUAACACGUGAGUAACCUGCCCUUGACUUUGGGAUAACUUCGGGAAACUGGGGCUAAUACCGGAUAGGAGCUCCUGCUGCAUGGUGGGGGUUGGAAAGUUUCGGCGGUUGGGGAUGGACUCGCGGCUUAUCAGCUUGUUGGUGGGGUAGUGGCUUACCAAGGCUUUGACGGGUAGCCGGCCUGAGAGGGUGACCGGCCACAUUGGGACUGAGAUACGGCCCAGACUCCUACGGGAGGCAGCAGUGGGGAAUAUUGCACAAUGGGCGGAAGCCUGAUGCAGCAACGCCGCGUGCGGGAUGACGGCCUUCGGGUUGUAAACCGCUUUCGCCUGUGACGAAGCGUGAGUGACGGUAAUGGGUAAAGAAGCACCGGCUAACUACGUGCCAGCAGCCGCGGUGAUACGUAGGGUGCGAGCGUUGUCCGGAUUUAUUGGGCGUAAAGGGCUCGUAGGUGGUUGAUCGCGUCGGAAGUGUAAUCUUGGGGCUUAACCCUGAGCGUGCUUUCGAUACGGGUUGACUUGAGGAAGGUAGGGGAGAAUGGAAUUCCUGGUGGAGCGGUGGAAUGCGCAGAUAUCAGGAGGAACACCAGUGGCGAAGGCGGUUCUCUGGGCCUUUCCUGACGCUGAGGAGCGAAAGCGUGGGGAGCGAACAGGCUUAGAUACCCUGGUAGUCCACGCUGUAAACGGUGGGUACUAGGUGUGGGGUCCAUUCCACGGGUUCCGUGCCGUAGCUAACGCUUUAAGUACCCCGCCUGGGGAGUACGGCCGCAAGGCUAAAACUCAAAGGAAUUGACGGGGCCCCGCACAAGCGGCGGAGCAUGCGGAUUAAUUCGAUGCAACGCGUAGAACCUUACCUGGGUUUGACAUGGAUCGGGAGCGCUCAGAGAUGGGUGUGCCUCUUUUGGGGUCGGUUCACAGGUGGUGCAUGGCUGUCGUCAGCUCGUGUCGUGAGAUGUUGGGUUAAGUCCCGCAACGAGCGCAACCCUUGUUCACUGUUGCCAGCACGUUAUGGUGGGGACUCAGUGGAGACCGCCGGGGUCAACUCGGAGGAAGGUGGGGAUGACGUCAAGUCAUCAUGCCCCUUAUGUCCAGGGCUUCACGCAUGCUACAAUGGCUGGUACAGAGAGUGGCGAGCCUGUGAGGGUGAGCGAAUCUCGGAAAGCCGGUCUCAGUUCGGAUUGGGGUCUGCAACUCGACCUCAUGAAGUCGGAGUCGCUAGUAAUCGCAGAUCAGCAACGCUGCGGUGAAUACGUUCCCGGG